CGUGCCUCUGUGGGAGCUGAGACAGUAGAUUGCUUGGAGGGAUAGCAGAUCCAGUGGUGACCGGGGCCAGGAUAGGGAGGGCAGGGGCUAGGAAGGAGAAAAAGGAGCAUGCACGCAGUUGUUACUGCUGAACUGUCAUCUAAACAUGGUAAAGAGCGUAGAUUACAUAUGCAGAUUCUGCCCUAACAAGGACAAAAACUAUAAAUGGGGUGAAAGGCACUGACCACGGGCUCACUCUGGAAUUCUUCUGCCUUUCCAAGUAAAUCAGACCUAAAGGGGAUUUUGAAAUCCUGAAGCCCUCGCCAGGCACGAGCUACUCUGCAAGGUACAGCAUCCUUCAGGUCUCCAUCCUCUACAGCUCAGUGUGGAGUGAACCCAACCCAGCCACAGGAAACUCCCAUUCUAGCCCCACUCACCCCACAGGACACCCACAUCCCAGCCUCACUCACCCCACAGGACACCCACCUCCCACCCUCAUUCACCCCGCAGGACACCCAAAUGUCUCACCCCUCACUCACCCCACAGGACACCCACAUCCCACCCUCACUCACCCCACAGGACACCCACAUCCCACCCUCACUCACCCCCACAGGACACCCACAUCCCACCCUCACUCACCCCACAGGACACUGCAUCCCAGCCUCACUCACCUCACAGGACACCCCAUCACACCCUCACACACCCCACAGAACUCCCACAUCCCAGCCCUCACUCACCCCACACAGGACACCCCAUCCCACCUUCACCUCACCCCACAGGACACCCCAUCCCAGCCUCACUCACCCCACAGGACACCCCAUCCCACCUUCACUCACCCCACAGGACACCCCAUCCCACCCUCACUCACCCCACAGGACACCCACAUCCAGCCUCACUCACCUCACAGGACACCCCAUCACACCCUCACACACCCCACAGAACUCCCACAUCCCAGCCUCACUCACCCCAUAGGACACCCCAUCCCACCUCACUCACCCCACAGGACACCCCAUCCCACCCUCACUCACCCCACAGGACACCCACAUCCCACCCUCACUCACCCCACAGGACACUGCAUCCCAGCCUCACUCACCCCACAGGACACCCCAUCCCACCUUCACACACUCCAUAGGACACCCCAUCCCAAUCACCACCACCCCACAGGACACCCCAUCCAAUCAGCGCCUACCCCACAGGACACCCAUCCCACCCUCACACACCCCACAGGACACCCCAUCCCACCCUCGCUCACCCCACGGGACACCCCAUCACACCCUCACACACCCCACAGAAAUUCCCACAUUCCCAGCCUCACUCACCCCAUAGGACACCCCAUCCCAGCCUCACCUACCCCACAGGACACCCCUGUCCCAGCCCCACUCACCCUCCACAGUGCCCCCA
rnacentral:lncRNA from 1 species